UGGGGAAUAUUGGACAAUGGGCGCAAGCCUGAUCCAGCGACGCCGCGUGUGUGAAGAAGGCCUGCGGGUUGUAAAGCACUUUCGAUGGGAACGAAAUGUGCCGGGUUAAUACCCCGGUAAGCUGACGUUACUCAAUGAAGAAGCACCGGCUAACUCUGUGCCAGCAGCCGCGGUAAUACAGAGGGUGCGAGCGUUAAUCGGAAUUACUGGGCGUAAAGCGCACGUAGGUGGCGACGUAAGUCGGGUGUGAAAGCCCCGGGCUCAACCUGGGAAUUGCAUUCGAGACUGCAUUGCUGGAGUACGGAAGAGGAGGGCGGAAUUCCCGGGUGUAGCGGUGAAAUGCGUAGAUAUAGGAAGGAACACCAGUGGCGAAGGCGACCACCUGGACUGAUACUGACACUGAGGUGCGAAAGCGUGGGGAGCAAACAGGAUUAGAUACCCGCGUAGUCCCUGAGCGGGCUGGCAAGGCGCAU
rnacentral:rRNA from 1 species